AGAACGAACGCUGGCGGCGUGGAUAAGACAUGCAAGUCGAGCGCUGAUUCCGGGGUAGCAAUAUUCCGGAGUUGGAGCGGCGCAAGGGUGCGUAACACGUGGGUAAUCUGCCAGGAAGUUGGGGAUAACUUGCUGAAAGGCGAGCUAAUACCGAAUGUGACCAUUGGGAGGCCUCUCCUGAUGGUUAAAGUUGGGGACCGCAAGGCCUGACGCUUCCUGAUGAACCCGCGGCCUAUCAGCUAGUUGGUGAGGUAACGGCCCACCAAGGCUAAGACGGGUAGCUGGUCUGAGAGGACGACCAGCCACACUGGAACUGAGACACGGUCCAGACACCUACGGGUGGCAGCAGUCGAGAAUUUUUCACAAUGGGCGCAAGCCUGAUGGAGCGACGCCGCGUGGGGGAUGAAUGGCUUCGGCCCGUAAACCCCUGUCAUUUGCGAUCAAACCUCGUUAUUUAAAAGAUGACGAGCUGAUAGUAGCGAAAGAGGAAGGGACGGCUAACUCUGUGCCAGCAGCCGCGGUAAUACAGAGGUCCCGAGCGUUGUUCGGAUUCACUGGGCGUAAAGGGUGCGUAGGUGGUGAGGUAAGUCGGAUGUGAAAGCUCGGAGCUCAACUCCGAAAUGGCAUUGGAAACUACCUUGCUCGAGGGUUGGAGGGGGGACUGGAAUGCUUGGUGUAGCAGUGAAAUGCGUAGAUAUCAAGUGGAACACCAGUGGCGAAGGCGAGUCCCUGGACAACUCCUGACACUGAGGCACGAAAGCUAGGGGAGCAAACAGGAUUAGAUACCCUGGUAGUCCUAGCCGUAAACGGUGCAUGUUUGCUGUAAAAGGAAUCGACCCCUUUUGUGGCGGAGCCAACGCGUUAAACAUGCCGCCUGGGGAGUACGGUCGCAAGAUUAAACUCAAA
rnacentral:rRNA from 1 species